UUACAUGGAACAAUUAGGCUUCUUAGUUUUAAUCCUUCAUUACAAAUAUAGCUAUCUUCAUAUACUCGUAAAUUUUCUUCUUCAUAAUAUUCAGAUAGUUCUGUUAUAUUUUCAUGGAUCUCAAUUCCUUUUCCUUUGUUUGAAAUGUAUUCUAGCCCAACUUCUUACACACACACACACACACACACACACACACACACACACAUUUAACUCAUUUGUAACAAUUAUAGCUUACUCUU
rnacentral:lncRNA from 1 species